GACAUAUCCGCUUUGAAUGGUA
rnacentral:siRNA from 1 species